GGAGGUCCGAACCCACGAGCGUUGAAAAGCUCGGGGAUGACUUGUGGGUAGCGGUGAAAUUCCAAUCGAGCCCGGAGAUAGCUGGUUCUCCCCGAAAUAGCUUUAGGGCUAGCCUCAAGGUGAGAGAUACGGAGGUAGAGCACUGAAUGUCCUAGGGGGUAUUGCACCUACCGAAGACUAUCAAACUCCGAAUGCCGUCAUCUUAUACUUGGGAGUCAGACUGUGGGUGAUAAGAUUCAUAGUCGAAAGGGCAACAGCCCAGAUCGUCAGCUAAGGUCCCUAAAUGUAAGUUAAGUGGUAAAGGAUGUGGGAUUGCACAGACAACCAGGAUGUUGGCUUAGAAGCAGCCCCUCAUUCAAAGAGUGCGUAAUAGCUCACUGGUCGAGUGAUCCUGCGCCGAAGAUUUCCGGGGCUAAUACUUACUACCGCAGCUACGGCCUCAGUAAUGAUGGGUAGGGGAGCUUCCCAUACGGGUUGAAGCAUGACCGUAAGGACAUGUGGACAGUAUGGGAGUGAGAAUGUUGGCAUGAGUAGCGAGAUGUGGGUGAGAAUCCCACAGGCCGUAAACCCAAGGUUUCCAGGGGAAGGUUCGUCCGCCCUGGGUUAGUCGGGACCUAAGCUGAGGCCGAAAGGCGUAGGUGAUGGACAACAGGUUGAUAUUCCUGUACUACCGAUAACCGGUUGAGAGAUGGGAUGACACAGUAGGAUAAGCUAAGCACACUGUUGGUUAUGUGUGCCCAAGCAUUGAGGCAGUCAAAGUAGGCAAAUCCGCUUUGAUAAUGCUGGGAUGUGAUGGGGAGCGAAAUUUAGUAGCGAAGUAGCUGAUUUCACACUGUCAAGAAAAGUCUCUAUCGAGGUUAAAGGUACCCGUACCGCAAACCGACACAGGUGGGUGAGGAGAGUAUCCUAAGGCUAGCGAGAGAACUGUUGUUAAGGAACUCGGCAAAAUGACCCCGUAACUUAGGGAUAAGGGGUGCCACCAUCAGGUGGCCGCAGAGAAUAGGCCCAAGCGACUGUUUACCAAAAACAUAGGUUUCUGCUAAGUCGCAAGACGAUGUAUAGGAGCUGACGCCUGCCCGGUGCUGGAAGGUUAAGGGGAUCUGUUAGAGCAAUCGAAGCAGUGAACUUAAGCCCCAGUAAACGGCGGCCGUAACUAUAACGGUCCUAAGGUAGCGAAAUUCCUUGUCGGGUAAGUUCCGACCCGCACGAAAGGCGUAACGAUUUGGGCACUGUCUCA
rnacentral:rRNA from 1 species